CUUGUCAGCUGAUUGAUUAUGAAUAAUUCUACAGCAAUGGUUUACAAAACAUCCCAAGGCGUGGGUUGCUUUUCGUGGGUCUACUUUGCGGCAGGCCUAAAUCAUUACCUGAAGAUGAGAGAAAUAAGCAAAUAAUGAUCUAUUAAGAUUACUGUAAAAGUGGAAUAAUGAAAGAUAACUGAACUUUCAUGUAUCAACACUGUACAAUUUCCUAUACUGAGAUAAUUUAGCUCGUAUUUAUGAAUGAAUUUCUUUCAUAGUUAUGAAUUAAUUGUUACUAUUUUUCAUUGAUUUAUUGGGGUUUCAAUAUAAUAAUAAUAUCGAGUAACCUGGUUGACUCAGCUCAGAUGUCAGAGUUUUCAGGUCGCACUUGUCAUACAGGUCUCAGGUCUCAGUUUUCAUACAGAGUGUAGUUGGAGCAAUUUUUUGAAACUAUAUUGAACAAUUUCCUAUAAUGAGAUGAUUUAUAUUUAGCACGUAUUUGAAUUUAUUUCAUAGUAAUGAAUGAACUGUUACUUUCCAUUGAACUAUUGUUUUUUUUUUGAAAUUGUCAUACAGUGUGUUUAGUUAAAGCAAUUUUUUGAACACGCUUUGAAUUUUAUUGCUAUAUUUUCAAAUGAUUAAAUUUCAAUCUCCUAGUAAUGUCUUCGUUUUUUUUUUUUUGUCUUGAUGAUGACAUUAUUUCAGAGCAAUUUUUUAAACACGGUUUGAUAAUUUGUUGCUAUGUUUUCAAAAAUGAUAAAUUCCAAUCUCAUAGUAAUGACUUUGUCUUGAUGAUAACAUUAUUUCAGAGCAAUUUUCUGAACACGAUUUGGUAUUUUGUUGCUGUAUUUUCAAAUGAUUAAAGUUUAAUCGCAUAGUAAUAACUUAAUCUUUUUGUCUUGAUGAUGGAAUUAUAUUGUAAAGUAAAUAGUUGAUAAUCAUGGAAUGAUGCCUCUAGUUGUAAUAAAUUUCAUAUAAUUUUUAAU
rnacentral:lncRNA from 1 species